UUAUGUAUUUCUCAUAAGAAGAUAAUAGCAUUGGCCAGUUGACAUUUGGCAUAUAAACUAUUUUUAUAAGACAAGAUGAGUGAGCAUGUGGAAAUGUUGUUACCGCCUUUGUGUCUGUCGGGAUUGGCCCUUAUAUCUCCUGUUGUGGCUGUAUUUGUUUAUCCUUUAUUUGAUGGGUAAUAUGUAAACAAAAAUCAUUGUUAGUUGUAUUUAUCAAAGUUCAUAACUUACUCUGCCUUUUUUAUUUAGGUAAUUUCAUUGAUCUUGGUUGUCGUCUUCGUUUUCUUCGUUGCGAAAGUAAGUUUGUAAAUUGUUAAAUAGCUGGCCGUGUAGUUUGUAUUUGUUUAGAUGAGUCGAUGUAUGUGUCGUUGAGUUUUAGUUGAGGUGAUUGGUUUGGUAUAUUUGUUUUGAAGUUUAUUUCUAAGAUGAGACAAAAAAGAGAGGUGAUCAUUAAUGAUUCGUCUUUUUUUGGAAUUCUAUUUUUGGUGUUUUGAUUGUUUGAGUUGUUGUGGUUUCUUUUAAGCUGUAAAAUAAAGGUUUGUGUAAAAUUAGUUUGAUAAGUAUGAGAGAUAAAUAGACGACCACAGAAUUUGGGUAGAAAAUAUUUUUGAUUAUUGAUGUUAGCACAAUAUAGAUAAUAAUAUAAAAGGAAUUGUGUGUUGAUUGUUUCGUACGGAUCAAUGAGGAGACGAAUAACGACUUAAGUUGUUUCUUUGCUAAGGUCAGAGCCUUGGACAGAACGUAUUUGUCCAACCACAUCUGCGAGUUUAAAUAUCAGUUAUGAUAACGAAAC
rnacentral:lncRNA from 1 species